GGAUUUCUAGAUUGAUCGGUGUGGACAGAAGAAGGUUCAUUCCCUAGUUGGGCAUUGAAGAAAUUUGAGGUGUUUCUAUGGUUUCUAGAUGGGUCAUCCUCGCAUUGAAAAGAGAACUUCAGAGGUCGAAUUUCUUCUCCCUCCAAUGUUCCUAGUUGAGACGAGGGUUCUAUGGCUGAAUCUAAGGAUGUGGAAGGUGAAGGAUCGGAUUCGGCCACUAGAAGAUCCUCAUGGCUCAACUCGCACUCUUCUCAGAGAGGUUUAGACUCGACUAUGAAGGUGGUGUUCUUGGUGAUAUGAUCUAAGAUUUCCCUACCUUCAGCCAGAAUCUUAUGGAGAGGCGCCCUCCAGUGAUGAAGUCAAGAUAAUUGGCGGAAUCCUUAUCGAGACCCUUAUAAAAG
rnacentral:lncRNA from 1 species